rnacentral:rRNA from 1 species
GACGAACGCUGGCGCCGUGCUUAAUACAUGCAAGUCGAGCGGACAGCAGGGACACUGCUGCCGGAAGUUAGCGGAGGACGGGUGAGUAACACGUGGGAAACCUACCCUGGAGACCGGGAUAUAUACUAGAACAUGCUGCUACUACCGGAUAACCAUUUCAACUGUAUGCGUCGAACGUAAAAGAUGCCUCCGGCUAUAACUACAGGAUCGGACCGCGGCGCAUUAGCUAGUUGGUCAGGUAAUGGCUUACCAAGGCAACGAUGCGUAGCGGAUCUGAGAGGGUGAUCGGCCACACUGGGACUGAGACACGACCCAGACUCCGACGGGAGGCAGCAGUAGGGAAUCUUCCGCAAUGGACGAAAGUCUGACUGAGCAACGCCGCGUGAGUGAUGAAGGUUUUCUGAUCGUAAAGCUCUGUUGUUAGGGAAGAACAAUUGCCGUUUAAAUAAGGCGGCACGUUGACGGUACCUAACCAGAAAGCCACGGCUAACUACGUGACAGCCGCCGCAGUAACAC